rnacentral:rRNA from 1 species
GUAGGCGGGUAGUUAAGUCAGAAGUGAAAUCCAAUAGCUCAACUAUUGAACUGCUUUUGAAACUGAUUACCUAGAAUAUGGGAGAGGUAGAUGGAAUUUCUGGUGUAGGGGUAAAAUCCGUAGAGAUCAGAAGGAAUACCGAUUGCGAAGGCGAUCUACUGGAACAUUAUUGACGCUGAGACGCGAAAGCGUGGGGAGCAAACAGGAUUAGAUACCCUGGUAGUCCACGCCCUAAACGAUGCACACUAGUUGUUGCGAUGCUAGUCAUUGCAGUAAUGCACUUAACAGAUUAAGUGUGCCGCCUGGGGAGUACGGUCGCAAGAUUAAAACUCAAAGGAAUAGACGGGGACCCGCACAAGCGGUGGAGCAUGUGGUUUAAUUCGAAGACACACGAAGAACCUUACCUGGGCUUGAUAUCCUAAGAAUCCUGUAGAGAUAUGGGAGUGCUAGUUUACUAGGACUUAGAGACAGGUGCUGCACGGCUGUCGUCAGCUCGUGUCGUGAGAUGUUGGGUUAAGUCCCGCAACGAGCGCAACCCUCGUGAUUAGUUGCUAACAGUUCGGCUGAGCACUCUAAUCAGACUGCCUUCGCAAGGAGGAGGAAGGUGAGGACGACGUCAAGUCAUCAUGGCCCUUAUGCCCAGGGCUACACACGUGCUACAAUGGCUAGGACAAAGAGAAGCGAUACUGCGAAGUGGAGCAAAUCUUAAAACCUAGUCUCAGUUCGGAUUGGAGUCUGCAACUCGACUCCAUGAAGCUGGAAUC